AGCAAUCGCUGAUUGAGCGCAUGCGCCCUUGUCAGAUUUGGGAUGCCGCCGGAUUUCGGCGGCAUUUUUGUAUGCGUGAU
rnacentral:sRNA from 2 species